UACGUAGGGUGCGAGCGUUAAUCGGAAUUACUGGGCGUAAAGCGUGCGCAGGCGGCGGCUCAAGUCAGGUGUGAAAUCCCCGGGCUUAACCUGGGAAUUGCGCUUGAAACUAGGUCGCUAGAGUGUGGCAGAGGGGGGUGGAAUUCCACGUGUAGCAGUGAAAUGCGUAGAGAUGUGGAGGAACACCGAUGGCGAAGGCAGCCCCCUGGGUCAACACUGACGCUCAUGCACGAAGCGUGGGGAGCAAACAGG
rnacentral:rRNA from 1 species